UAGUGGCGAACGGGUGAGUAACACGUGGGCAAUCUGCCCUUCACUCUGGGACAAGCCCUGGAAACGGGGUCUAAUACCGGAUAACACUUCCUGCCGCAUGGCGGGGGGUUAAAAGCUCCGGCGGUGAAGGAUGAGCCCGCGGCCUAUCAGCUUGUUGGUGGGGUGAUGGCCUACCAAGGCGACGACGGGUAGCCGGCCUGAGAGGGCGACCGGCCACACUGGGACUGAGACACGGCCCAGACUCCUACGGGAGGCAGCAGUGGGGAAUAUUGCACAAUGGGCGAAAGCCUGAUGCAGCGACGCCGCGUGAGGGAUGACGGCCUUCGGGUUGUAAACCUCUUUCAGCAGGGAAGAAGCGAAAGUGACGGUACCUGCAGAAGAAGCGCCGGCUAACUACGUGCCAGCAGCCGCGGUAAUACGUAGGGCGCAAGCGUUGUCCGGAAUUAUUGGGCGUAAAGAGCUCGUAGGCGGCUUGUCACGUCGGAUGUGAAAGCCCGGGGCUUAACCCCGA
rnacentral:rRNA from 1 species